rnacentral:rRNA from 1 species
UUAACCGGGGGGGCGUCUACCAUGCAGUCGACGGAUCAUCAAGCUUCUUGUGGUAGAUGCGAACGGUGAGUAUGCGUGACCGACCUGCCCCAUACACGGAUAGCUCCUGAAACGGGUGUAAUCCGGAUGCUCCGACUCCUCGCAUGGGGUUCGGGAAAGAUUCAUCGGUAUGGAUGGGGUCGCGUCCUAUCAGGUAGUCGGCGGGGUAACGGCCCACCGAGCUACGACGGGUAGCCGGCCUGAGAGGGCGACCGGCCACAUUGGGACUGAGAUACGGCCCAGACUCCUACGGGAGGCAGCAGUGGGGAAUAUUGCACAAUGGGCGCAAGCCUGAUGCAGCGACGCCGCGUGCGGGAUGACGGCCUUCGGGUUGUAAACCGCUUUUGAUCGGGAGCAAGCCUUCGGGUGAGUGUACCUUUCGAAUAAGCACCGGCUAACUACGUGCCAGCAGCCGCGGUAAUACGUAGGGUGCAAGCGUUAUCCGGAAUUAUUGGGCGUAAAGGGCUCGUAGGCGGUUCGUCGCGUCCGGUGUGAAAGUCCAUCGCUUAACGGUGGAUCUGCGCCGGGUACGGGCGGGCUGGAGUGCGGUAGGGGAGACUGGAAUUCCCGGUGUAACGGUGGAAUGUGUAGAUAUCGGGAAGAACACCAAUGGCGAAGGCAGGUCUCUGGGCCGUUACUGACGCUGAGGAGCGAAAGCGUGGACG